GCUCAUUUUGACAGUGCAUAUAUUAAAACCGAAGCAUUACAGAGACAAUUGGCUUGGUCCCUGAACCGAGAUGACUUAGAGACUCAUGAGACACUUACAUUUUUG
ensembl:snRNA U6 U6 spliceosomal RNA